GUUUCCGGGGGGGGCUGAGGCGGCGUCGCUGCUUGUCCCUAGGAGGAUUCGCCCUGGAGGGAAAGCGGCUCCUCCUCCCGCCGUGGUUCUGGCUGUAGGCCCGGGCCUGUGGCGCCCAUCCCGGGCGGCAGACGGCGGCGGCGCUGGGUACGGGGCAGGCCCUGCACCGCGUGCGGCGUUGUCCACCCCGCGUGUUUGAACGGCCGCGGGGGGCGGUUCGGGGUAACGCAAUGCGGGUCGCUGGCCGCGGGUCACGUUCUCGAGCCCGGAGCCUCGUGCGCGCUCGCGCGGCUCGAAAGCUGAGGCCGUGAGACAAGCUGCCAAGUGCCCGAGCGUAGCCAGCACUGCAGUCCCUGGCCCAGGCCCGCGGGCUGCAUUUGCACAAGAGCCGCCUCCUACACGUUUCCCUGCUCACUCAGCCUAUGGUAAAAAAAAAAAGCGGGGGAGAAAUCCAGCACCUGAUGGCUUUUCAUAACUUUUCUCAUCUGGGGCUGUCACUUUGAAAGCAGUGAUAUGCAGAGAUGCAUCUUUAAGACACACCUCUGCAGGAAACCCCUCCUUUCUUUCUUCCACUCAUCAUUAGUAAUCUCCUGUAAAAGGAUGACAGGAUCAUCUUGCUGCCCCACCCUGUUUGUGGGUGUUGAAAUCCUGCCGGAACUGGAGCUUCAUCACGGUUUACUCAUCGAUGCAGUACCAGGGGAGCCAGAAUUAGAGACGCAAGCCGCCGCUACGAUCCAGCAGCGGCUUUAAGGAUCCAAAAGCUGUAUUGGGCGAACCGCUCCAAGGCCAUGAGGGAGAUCCUAGAUGGGCCCUCACCCUACUGCAUGAUCCCAUCUGAACAUCUCUGCAGCUUCUUCAAGGAUGUAUUCGACUGCAUAGCCCGGAGUGACACGCAGCGCCCAAAGGGCCUCCGCCCCCUGCCCUGCAUCGAUGAAGCAGGUGUCCUGGAAACUGACUAUACACCCAAGGAAGUAAUGGCCAGACUCAAAAACAAAAACAGCUCCUGGGAAAUACGGGAGGCUGUGGGGGAUGCUGAAAAAGCAAGAUCCCAGCUGCCUGGUCCUCGCCACGCUCUUCAACCAGUGCAAGCGAUUCUGCUGCACUCCCAGCUCCUGGAAGAAGGCCAUGACGGUACUGGCGUACAAGAAGGGAGAGCGGGAUGACCCCAGCAACUAGAGGCCCAUCUCCCUCUGCUCCAUGAUGUACAAGCUCUAUGCCAGCUGCCUGGCGUCAAGGAUCACAGAGUGGUUGGUGAGUAGGGGAGCCAUCAGCUCCAUCCAGAAAGGCUUCAUGUCCUGCGAGGGCUGCUAUGAACACAACUUUGUACUCCAAACCACCAUCAAAACGGCCAGAAGGGAGCAGAGGCAGUGCGCGCAAUAGCUGGGUCGACCCAGCUAACGGCUUUGGGGCCAUGCCCCACCACCACAUCUUUGCCACGCUCCAGGAGUUUGGGAUGCCAGAGAACUUUCUUCAUGUGAUCUGAGAAGUGUACGAGGGAUGCAGCACCACCAUUUGCUCGGUCGAAGGGGAGACUGCCGAGAUCCCAAUCCGGAGAGGAGUUAAGCAGGGCUGUCCCCCCAGCCCCAUCUUUAACCUCGCCAUGGAGCCGUUGCUGUGAGCAAUCUCCAAUUCAACCUCCACAGUGAGAGGGUGAAUGUCCUGGCUGCGGAUGACCCAGAGAGCCUCCAACAUAUUCUCGAUGCCACCAGUCGAGCUGCCAACUGGGUGGGGCUCCGCUUCAAUGCAAAGAAGUGCGCAACUCUCCACAUCGACGGCAGCAAAAGACGCUGUGCAGACAACAGGGUUCCAGAUCCAGGGCGAGCCAGUCAUCCCCCGGCAGAGGGGCAGGCAUACCAGCACCUUGGCAUGCCAACGGGUUUCCGUGUCCGGCAGACACCAGAGGACACCAUCCAGGAGAUCUUGCAGGACGCCGCCAAAAUAGACGCCUCCUUGCUGGCACCGUGGCAGAAGAUAAUGCCCUGAACGCCUUCCUGAUCCCCUGCAUCUCGUUCGUCCUAAGGGGAUCUGCUGUGGCAAAGGUACCCCUCAACAAGGCAGACAAGAUUGUCCGGCAGCUGGUGAAGUGGCUGUUCCUUCCCCAGAGAGCCAGCAAAGCGUUGGUCUACAUCGCCCAUAGGCAUGGCAGUGCCAACAUCCCCCGCAUGGGCGACCUGUGUGACAGUGCGGUGAUCACCCACGCCUUCCACCUGCUGACGUGACCCGAUGCCAUGGUAAGGAACAUCGCCGCAAACGCCCUCCAUGACGUGACAAGGAAGCAGAUUGGCAGAGCCCUCCAACCAAGACAUCGCCACCUUCCUGAGUGGUUCCCUGGAUGGAGAAUUUGGACGGGAAAGAUGCGACAUUGCUUCACUGUGGUCCCGCACUCGCAAUGCCACGCAUCGCCUGGGGAAGCGCAUCGGCUGCCGCUGGGAGCAAUGCGAGGAGCGCCAGGAGCUGGGAGUCCUGGUGCCGCACAUCAGGUCCAACAACAUCACCACUGUCACCCCGAGCACCAGGGGCAUGCUGGAGAGGACCCUGAAGGCAGCCAUCCACUCACUGUACAUGGAAACCCUGAAGUGUAAACCGGACCAGGGUAAAGCCUUGGAACUGACCAGCAAGUGGGACGCCAGCAACCACUUCCUCGCUGGGGAUGGCUUCACCCGUUUCGCCGACUGGCGGUUCAUCCACCGUGCCCAGCUCAACUGCAUCCCGCUCAACAGAGCUGUCCGCCACGGAAACCGAGACAAGCAUUGCAGGAAGUGCGGCUACUCCAACAAGGCCCUGCCCCACGUUCUGUGUAGCUGCACCACAAUGCCAUCCAGAAUCGCCUGGUGAAAGCCAUUACACUGUGCCUUGGGGUGGUCACCCUGAACUGUGCCAUCCCCGGUACUGACAGCCAGUUGCGACCUGACGUGGCAGUCACCGACGAGGCCCAGAAAAAGAUCAUCCUCGUCAACGUCACAGUCUCCAUUGGGAACAGGAUCCCCGCCUUCCGUGAAGCCCGAGCUCGUAAGCUGGAAAAAUACGCCCCCUGGCCGACACCCUGAAAGCGAAGGGCUAUGAGGUACAGAUGGAUGCCCUGAUCGUCGGAGCCCUGGGCGCUUGGGACCCCUGCAACGAGCAUGUGCUGCGGACCUGUGGGAUCAGUCAACGCUACGCACGGCUCAUGCAGCGCCUCAUGAUCUCGGACACCACCUGAUGGUCCGGGGACAUCUACAUCGAACACAUCACCAGCCACCGACAGUACCAGGAGGUGAGCCGGAACGACAUUGUGCAUCAACUAUGAGAGAGGGACUGAGAUACUUUUUCCAUUGGACCAUCAUCAACUGGAACCAUAAACUCACUGAAAAUUAAAUCUCAAACGAGGGCAAUUCCAUCCUCAUGCUCAUCAUUGUAUCCACUCAUACUCCACACCUGAACACAGCCAUUAUAUGAACAUACCCCCAUAUCUCAAUGUCUGUACUUUGACCCGUUAACCUUUUACCCCCAAUCGGGGAUAUUGCAGAUUAUGUAUUCCUUUCACCACCCGAUCCUAAACUGAAUUUUGCAUCUCUUGAUAAUCUGUACCUUAUUCCCUGACAACCAGAAACUUCUAUGCUUAAACUUUGUACCGUUUUCUUUUUAUUUUAACAUCUUAAUAAAAUUAUUAAAUCUGA